rnacentral:rRNA from 1 species
GAAAGUCUGACGGAGCAACGCCGCGUGAGUGAAGAAGGUUUUCGGAUCGUAAAGCUCUGUCUUUGAGGACGAAUGUGCUUAAUGUGAAUAAUGUUAAGUAAUGACGGUACUCGAGGAGGAAGCCACGGCUAACUACGUGCCAGCAGCCGCGGUAAUACGUAGGUGGCAAGCGUUGUCCGGAAUUAUUGGGCGUAAAGCGCGCGCAGGCGGGAUAUUAAGUCUGUUUUAAAAGUUCGGGGCUCAACCCCGUGAUGGAAUGGAAACUAAUAUUCUUGAGUGCAGGAGAGGAAAGUGGAAUUCCCAGUGUAGCGGUGAAAUGCGUAGAUAUUGGGAGGAACACCAGUGGCGAAGGCGACUUUCUGGACUGUGUCUGACGCUGAGGCGCGAAAGCCAGGGGAGUGAACGGGAUUAGAUACCCCGGUAAUCCUGGCCGUAAACGAUGGGUACUAGGUGUAGGAGGUAUCGACCCCUUCUGUGCCGGAGUUAACGCAAUAAGUACCCCGCCUGGGGAGUA